CCCUUAGAUGUUCUGGGCCACACGCGCGUUACACUGAUGAAGCCAGCGAGUAUAUCGCCUUCACCGGAAGGUGCGGGUAGUCUUGUGAAACUUCAUCGUGCUGGGGAUAGACCAUUGCAAUUAUUGGUCUUGAACGAGGAAUUCCUAGUAAGCAUGAGUCAUCAACUCGUGCUGAUUACGUCCCUGCCCUUUGUACACACCGCCCGUCGCUACUACCGAUUGAAUGGUUUAGUGAGAUCUCGGGAUUGGAGACGUUGCGCCGCAAGGCACAUCGUCCUCGAGAACUUGAUCAAACUUGAUCAUUUAGAGGAAGUAAAAGUCGUAACA
rnacentral:rRNA from 1 species